rnacentral:rRNA from 1 species
GAUGAACGCUGGCGGCGUGCCUAAUACAUGCAAGUCGAGCGAACAGACGAGGAGCUUGCUCCUUUGACGUUUGCCGCGGACGGGUGAGUAACAUGUGGAUCCUCUCCCUAUCAGACUGGGAUCACUUCGGAAAACCGGCUCUAAUCCCGGAUAAUAUCCUGAACCGUAUGGUUUAAUAGUGAAAUACGGUUUUGCUGUCACUUAUAGAUGGUUCCCCGCCUCAUUAGCUAGUUGUUAAGGUAACGGCUUACCAAGGCGACCAUGCGUCGCCGACCUGAGAGGGUGAUCGCCCACACGGGAAGUGAGACACGGUCCAGACGACUACGGGAGGCAGCAGUAGGGAAUUUUCGGCAAUGGGCGAAAUCCUGACGGAGCAACGCGGCGUGAGUGAUGAAGGUCUUGGGUGCGUAAAACCCUGUUAUUAGGGAAAAACAAAUGUGGAAGGAAAUAUGCACGUCGUGACGGUACCUAAUCAGAAAGCCACGGCUAACUACGUG